rnacentral:rRNA from 1 species
ACGAGCGCACCCUCGUUUUUAGUUGCCAUCAUUAAGUUGGGCACUCUAGAGAGACUGCCGGUGACAAACCGGAGGAAGGUGGGGAUGACGUCAAGUCAUCAUGCCCCUUACGCCUUGGGCUACACACGUACUACAAUGGUCGGGACAAAGAGUCGCAAGCAUGCGAAUGCAAGCUAAUCUCAUAAACCCGGUCUUAGUUCAGAUUGCAGGCUGCAACUCGCCUGCAUGAAGGCGGAAUCGCUAGUAAUCGCAGGUCAGCAUACUGCGGUGAAUACGUUCCCGGGCCUUGUACACACCGCCCGUCACACCAUGGAAGCUGGUCACGCCCGAAGUCGUUAUCUCAACCCGUAAGGGAGGGAAGCGCCUAAGGCAGGGCUGGUGACUGGGGUGAAGUCGUAACAAGGUAGCCGUACCGGAAGGUGCGGCUGGAUCACCUCCUUA